GAUGAACGCUGGCGGCGUGCCUAAUACAUGCAAGUCGAGCGAACAGACGAGGAGCUUGCUCCUCUGACGUUAGCGGCGGACGGGUGAGUAACACGUGGAUAACCUACCUAUAAGACUGGGAUAACUUCGGGAAACCGGAGCUAAUAUCGGAUAAUAUAUUGAACCGCAUGGUUCAAUAGUGAAAGACGGUUUUGCUGUCACUUAUAGACGGAUCCGCGCCGCAUUAGCUAGUUGGUAAGGUAACGGCUUACCAAGGCGACGAUGCGUAGCCGACCUGAGAGGGUGAUCGGCCACACUGGAACUGAGACACGGUCCAGACUCCUACGGGAGGCAGCAGUAGGGAAUCUUCCGCAAUGGGCGAAAGCCUGACGGAGCAACGCCGCGUGAGUGAUGAAGGUCUUCGGAUCGUAAAACUCUGUUAUUAGGGAAGAACAAAUGUGUAAGUAACUAUGCACGUCUUGACGGUACCUAAUCAGAAAGCCACGGCUAACUACGUG
rnacentral:rRNA from 1 species